UACGUAGGGGGCAAGCGUUGUCCGGAUUUAUUGGGCGUAAAGAGCGUGUAGGCGGUUUGGUAGGUCCGCUGUGAAAACUCGAGGCUCAACCUCGAGACGCCGGUGGAAACCAUCAGACUAGAGUCCGGAAGGGGAGAGUGGAAUUCCUGGUGUAGCGGUGAAAUGCGCAGAUAUCAGGAAGAACACCCGUGGCUAAGGCGGCCCGCUGGGCCAUGGCUGACACUGAGGCGCGACAGCGUGGGGAGCAAACAGG
rnacentral:rRNA from 1 species